UUGAUCGGCCCAGCUUGGCUGAGACCCAUUCAGUGCGCAUCACUAGCUUAGGGGCCGCAGAAGCGGCCAGAACGUGCUACAACAGUUAGAAAAUUCUGCGUGGAGUGGCAUCCAAGUAAGGAUGUCGACCAAGUAACGGAAUAAAGUAACAAUGACAUUGCCCCACAACAUUAUCAGAUCUCUGAUUGGAUCAGAGGGCGGGCUAUGAAUCAGAAGUAUGAGUUGACGUAUAUUUUUGUUAGUACACGUGUACAUACAUACAUACAUGCAUAAUGGAUUGUAAAUCACCUUUGGUUGACCGAUAAAUCGUGAAUCUAACUUUCAAUCUUCAUUGGAAACGUAUCCGAAAGCAAAGUCGCGAAUUUGACAUUGACACAGACUAUAGGAGGAAGAGGGGAAAAAGAGAAGGAGAGGAUGAGGGAGCGGGAGAAGGAGAACAAGGUAAAAUGGACAUGAGAUAAUUUGUGAAUAAAUUAAAACAUGUUUUUCGAAAGGCUUUUUGUAAGACCCCCGCACACACACGCACAAGUAGCACGCAUACGAGUAUGCAUGUGUGUGUGCUAAUUAUUUGCGUGCACAUGUUUCAAUGUCAUUACCACAGAAGAGAGCAAAAGAGAGUGGAUUUUAACAGAAGAGAGUGGAGUAGUAGAACCAAAAAGAGAGUGAAGCUAAGUAUGCGAGCGGGCAAAGAGAGUGCAGCUGCAUUAGACCUCUGGGGGGGGCUUCUUUACACUUUUAAUUCGAAAGGUUAUUGCCAGGGAGGGGGGGCUUUUCUAAUCUUGAGAGUGACUGAGUGUCCGUGCCCCAGCAGCAGCUACAGCUCGACGUCAUUGGUGACCCUAGAGGCAAAAGAACACACAUUUGAAGGGCGCGCGCGCACGACUUCAGCCAACCGUCCCAUCCAUUCACCUGAUGUGCGAUCAUUCACUUCACAGUGAUCGCAUUAAGUAUGCGCACGCAUGCAACCACACACCACGUACCGCGCACACUGUCUUGCACUUACCCUCUUUAAGCGUUGCCAUC